AGUGGCGGACGGGUGAGUAAUACGUAGGAAUCUGCCUUUUAGUGGGGGAUAACCCGGAGAAAUCCGGGCUAAUACCGCAUACGCACUACGGUGGAAAGCAGGGGAUCGCAAGACCUUGCGCUAUUAGAUGAGCCUACGUCUGAUUAGCUAGUUGGUAGGGUAACGGCCUACCAAGGCGACGAUCAGUAGCUGGUUUGAGAGAACGAUCAGCCACACUGGGACUGAGACACGGCCCAGACUCCUACGGGAGGCAGCAGUGGGGAAUAUUGGACAAUGGGCGCAAGCCUGAUCCAGCAAUGCCGCGUGUGUGAAGAAGGCCUUCGGGUUGUAAAGCACUUUCGGCGGGGAGGAAAAGCUUCGGGCUAAUACCUUGGAGUCUUGACGUUACCCGAAGAAGAAGCACCGGCUAACUCUGUGCCAGCAGCCGCGGUAAUACAGAGGGUGCAAGCGUUAAUCGGAAUUACUGGGCGUAAAGCGCGCGUAGGUGGUUUGGUAAGUCGGAUGUGAAAGCCCUGGGCUUAACCUGGGAAUUGCAUUCGAAACUGCCUGGCUAGAGUUUGGGAGAGGGAAGUGGAAUUCCACAUGUAGCGGUGAAAUGCGUAGAUAUGUGGAGGAACACCAGUGGCGAAGGCGGCUUCCUGGCCUAAAACUGACACUGAGGCGCGAAAGCGUGGGUAGCAAACAGGAUUAGAUACCCUGGUAGUCCACGCCGUAAACGAUGAGAACUAGACGUUGGGAGGUUUAACCUUUUAGUGUCGCAGCUAACGCGAUAAGUUCUCCGCCUGGGGAGUACGGCCGCAAGGCUAAAACUCAAAUGAAUUGACGGGGGCCCGCACAAGCGGUGGAGUAUGUGGUUUAAUUCGAUGCAACGCGAAAAACCUUACCUGCUCUUGACAUGUCGAGAAGUCCGCAGAGAUGUGGAUGUGCCUUCGGGAACUCGAACACAGGUGCUGCAUGGCUGUCGUCAGCUCGUGUCGUGAGAUGUUGGGUUAAGUCCCGUAACGAGCGCAAACCCUUGUCCUUAGUUGCCACCAUUCAAGUUGGGCACUCUAAGGAGACUGCCGGUGACAAACCGGAGGAAAGGUGGGGAUGACGUCAAAGUCAUCAUGGCCCUUAUGAGCAGGGCUACACACGUACUACAAUGGCCGGUACAGAGGGUUGCCAACCGCGAGGUGAGCCAUCCCAGAAAGCCGGUCGUAGUCCGGAUCGGAGUUCUGCAAACUCGACUCCGUAAAGUUCGGAAUCGCUAGUAAUCGCGGAUCAAGCAUGCCGCGGUGAAUACGUUCCCGGGCCCUUGCA
rnacentral:rRNA from 1 species